rnacentral:rRNA from 1 species
AACGAACGCUGGCGGCGUGCCUAACACAUGCAAGUCGAGCGCGAAAAGGGCAACCUGAGUAGAGCGGCGCACGGGUGCGUAACACGUGGAUAAUCUACCUUUGGGUCUGGGAUAACUCUUCGAAAGAAGUGCUAAUACCGGAUAAGCUCACAGGGUCUUCGGACCCAGUGGGACAAGUAGGCCUCUAUUUAUAAGCUUACACCUGAAGAUGAGUCCGCGGCCCAUCAGCUAGUUGGCGGGGUAAUGGCCCACCAAGGCAACGACGGGUAGCUGGUCUGAGAGGACGAUCAGCCACACUGGAACUGAGACACGGUCCAGACUCCUACGGGAGGCAGCAGUGGGGAAUUUUCCACAAUGGGCGAAAGCCUGAUGGAGCAACGCCGCGUGUGUGAUGAAGGUCUUCGGAUCGUAAAGCACUUUCGACCGGGACGAAAAACCUCUGGCUAACAUCCAGGGGCCUGACGGUACCGGGAGAAGAAGCACCGGCUAACUCUGUGCCAGCCGCCGCAGUAAAAC